rnacentral:rRNA from 2 species
AACGAACGCUGGCGGCAGGCUUAACACAUGCAAGUCGAGCGCCCCGCAAGGGGAGCGGCAGACGGGUGAGUAACGCGUGGGAAUCUACCUUUUGCUACGGAAUAACGCAGGGAAACUUGUGCUAAUACCGUAUGCGUCCUUCGGGAGAAAGAUUUAUCGGCAAGAGAUGAGCCCGCGUUGGAUUAGCUAGUUGGUGGGGUAAAGGCCUACCAAGGCGACGAUCCAUAGCUGGUCUGAGAGGAUGAUCAGCCACAUUGGGACUGAGACACGGCCCAAACCCCUACGGGAGGCAGCAGUGGGGAAUAUUGGACAAUGGGCGCAAGCCUGAUCCAGCCAUGCCGCGUGAGUGAUGAAGGCCCUAGGGUUGUAAAGCUCUUUCACCGGAGAAGAUAAUGACGGUAUCCGGAGAAGAAGCCCCGGCUAACUUCGUGCCAGCCGCCGCGGUAA